GAUAAUGCUCAUGCAUGGCAACAAAGGCACCACCCCUGCUGGCUUAUCUGUUGGGCCAGAUAUGCCACACUAACUGAGAGGAAAGAGGAAAAAAAAAACAAAACUGAGAAAUGGGGGAUAAAAGCCAUCACUAAAUUAAGGACUCUGGAGAAAAAGUUCCCAAAGAAACCUCUGAUGGAGAAUUCUCUGCGGGGAACAACCUCUUCGGAAGAAGCUCCCCGCCUUCCGGGGCCAACUUGCUGCAAAGCUUCCUUGCUUUCUGCCAUCCCCCGCGGUGACUGGACAAGUGCCUGAGAUCAACGGACCUACUGCAAACCUCGCUGGACCCACGGUGAGGCUUUCUGCAAGGAGACAACUUGACAAAGCCCACCCCAGUAGCCAGGUAUUCUGGGCCAGCCUCCCUGCCAGCCAGUUCUGUGCCACCUGAAGUGGUGAGGACACCAGAAAGCACCAUCCGCCAAGCACAAUGAAGACCUCAAGGAAUUUUCUUAGUAUUUCUAGGAAUACCAAGAUUCUUCUAGAUAUUGGCAGCACUCUUGAGAAGGAGACUCCAGGAUUUUUUGUAGGAGACUCACAUACGCCUUCUCCCCCCAUGUCUUGUCCCUCGAGUAUCCCAAUACAUGGGCAAAAAGGAAGCAAACAUGCCUUAGGUUCCAUGGCAAACCCAGAAGAUUGUGAAACUGGAAGCCUGCACUUAGUCUGUUGAAAUCAGCAAGCCAACAUUUUUCACGUUUCUGUUCUGUGGAUAGCUUAGCAAUUAUGUUUUACUGCAGUUUGCAAUUUAAACAAAAUUGCUGAUUUUCAAAGUCCUCUGCAAUGUGAAUUUACUGUUCUGUCUCCUUGUGUCUGGUUUGAGGUGUCAGAAUACCUUAGGAAAGACAGAUUGGUGAAUAUGGGUCUGAACAACCAGUGAUUAAUAACUCUGCAGAUAUCAUGGUUGAUAGACUGAAGAAGGAAAACUUCUGACAAAUUAACAAAUAUGCAUUCAAAAACAUUUCCAACCUUUGUCAUGAGAAGAUACUCAAAGGAAAAAUAAUUUUAAAAUUAAAGUG
rnacentral:lncRNA from 7 species